AUUGAACGCUGGCGGCAGGCCUAACACAUGCAAGUCGAGCGGAUGAAGGGAGCUUGCUCCUGGAUUCAGCGGCGGACGGGUGAGUAAUGCCUAGGAAUCUGCCUGGUCGUGGGGGAUAACGUCCGGAAACGGGCGCUAAUACCGCAUACGUCCUGAGGGAGAAAGUGGGGGAUCUUCGGACCUCACGCUAUCAGAUGAGCCUAGGUCGGAUUAGCUAGUUGGUGGGGUAAAGGCCUACCAAGGCGACGAUCCGUAACUGGUCUGAGAGGAUGAUCAGUCACACUGGAACUGAGACACGGUCCAGACUCCUACGGGAGGCAGCAGUGGGGAAUAUUGGACAAGGGGCGAAAGCCUGAUCCAGCCAUGCCGCGUGUGUGAAGAAGGUCUUCGGAUGGUAAAGCACUUUAAGUUGGGAGGAAGGGCAGUAAGUUAAUACCUUGCUGUAUUGACGGUACCAACAGAAUAAGCACCGGCUAACUUCGUG
rnacentral:rRNA from 1 species